UGCCAGACUCCUACGGGAGGCAGCAGUGGGGAAUAUUGCACAGUGGGGGAAACCCUGAUGCAGCGACGCCGCGUGAGUGAAGAAGUAUUUCGGUAUGUAAAGCUCUAUCAGCAGGGAAGAAAAUGACGGUACCUGACUAAGAAGCCCCGGCUAACUACGUGCCAGCAGCCGCGGUAAUACGUAGGGGGCAAGCGUUAUCCGGAUUUACUGGGUGUAAAGGGAGCGUAGACGGCAUGGCAAGUCAGAUGUGAAAGCCCGGGGCUCAACCCCGGGACUGCAUUUGAAACUGUCAGGCUGGAGUGCAGGAGAGGUAAGUGGAAUUCCUAGUGUAGCGGUGAAAUGCGUAGAUAUUAGGAGGAGCACCAGUGGCGAAGGCGGCUUACUGGACUGUAACUGACGUUGAGGCUCGAAAGCGUGGGGAGCAAACAGGAUUAGAUACCCUAGUAA
rnacentral:rRNA from 1 species